GCAGAUGGUAUUUGCCUGGAUAUGAAUCACCCUUGCGUGAGCUUGUGCUGCAAGGCACCAAGUUCUCAACUUAUUAUUAGUGGGUGCCCUCUCCCAGGUGACUUCGAUAACAGAACAUUGGAUGGAUACGGCUAUUGGCCCAAUUGCUGCCUUAAAAGGCGCACUUUACCGCCACCACGCCUGCCUCCGAUUGCUUUAUACUAUGCUUAUGACGGAACGUGGAGAUACCGCUACGCAACUGCUGAGUAAAGAUCUCGAUUACUCAAUAAACUUAUUUUGCUAUUA